UACGUAGGGGGGCAAGCGUUGUCCGGAAUUAUUGGGCGUAAAGCGCGCGCAGGCGGUUGUUUAAGUCUGGUGUAUAAACCAAGGGCUCAACCUUUGGACGCAUUGGAAACUGGGCAACUGGAGUGUAGGAGAGGAAAGUGGAAUUCCACGUGUAGCGGUGAAAUGCGUAGAGAUGUGGAGGAACACCAGUGGCGAAGGCAGGUCUCUGGCCACUACUGACGCUGAGAAGCGAAAGCAUGGGGAGCGAACAGG
rnacentral:rRNA from 1 species